UUGCAGCCAAUUAAGCUGACCAGUGCCCUUUUCCCCAUGGGGGCCUGGUGUGCAAUGGCUGCAAACAGCAGCCCCGGUAGUGUAUGCACCCUGUUGCCUGCAUAGGUUGCCCUAAGGGACCUUGGAGACAGCC
ensembl:snoRNA SNORA70 Small nucleolar RNA SNORA70